GGGGCCUUAGCUCAGCUGGGAGAGCACCUGCUUUGCACGCAGGAGGUCAGCGGUUCGAUCCCGCUAGGCUCCACCU
rnacentral:tRNA from 3 species